rnacentral:lncRNA from 1 species
UUGGUGUUGAUAGUAACUGGAUUUUUCUUUCUCCUUCAUUUCAUGUGAACAACUACCCAACUGUUUAGCUGAAGUUAACAUUAUUUAAGCAAAGAAAAUAUUUCAGUUUUCUGACAGAAUUUGCCUUCCUGGCAGGUCAUUGUGGUCAAUUACGGCUCCAGAGUCAAGUUGGGAUUUUGUUGUCAUUUUGUCUGCAGACACUUGGCUGGAAAAUCGAUUGGUUGCAGCAUUCUCUAGUCAGCUAAACUGUGCGUUCAACCUUUUCUCUAGAAGUUAGAUGAAAAUUGGUGGGGCCUCUUUCUUUUUACCUUAAACGAUGUGGUAAUGGGAGAAUGAUCUGAUCAUUUCUGCCACUGCCAAGCUGGUUCAUGAGCCGAGAGAAUGACAGCUAACACUCACUCCCUAAGUGUAACUGCUUUUUUUUUUUCCUCCUAACAUACAAAUGGAAUGUUCAAAACUUGACUGGAUUGUAAUAAGUUCCUGUAGAGAGACUGAGGCUGGCAGGGUUAAGGCUUAGGGGAAAUUUUGGAAAGUUGGUUAUAUUUUCAUUAAAGUAGGAGACAUUGUCAGAUGGUACUAAAGAAAGUGUGAAAACCUCAGGAAAUGGAUGGACAAUAAUUCAAAAUUGUUGAUGUGGGUAAGAAGGGAAGUUGUGAAAACUCAGCACUAACUUUGUUCUUGUUUCUCUGUAACAACUCUGAACUGACACACGAGUCUUUAUUGCUAAAACACUCUGAAGCUCUCUGCUUGGUGAGGCCCCACAGAGGACAUGUUGAAUGUAUUCCUGCUUCCAAACCUCUCUUAUUUCGGUUUGUGAUGCAGACAGGGCUUUGGGGCUGUCUAUUUAAUGUACAUGAGGUCAACUCAAGGACAGCCAUUCCCGGAGACAAUACAGUAGAGAUAAGAUGGAAGAUGAUAGUUUAGCUAAUGGGGCCUUUACCUUGAGUUUAGGAAAUAGACUUUGUUUAAAUUAUAUUUAUAUCAUAACUUAAAUAAGAUUGGGAUGUUUUUAGUAGUUCCAAGUUUAUAGGACAAAAGGGUUUAUGUUACAAUCAGGUCUUGAAGAAGAGCUCACAGAGAAGACUACCGAAUAUCCAACAGUCAAGCUUAUGAAGCAGCUACUAGUACAAUAAAAAUCUGAAGUAAAAUGAGACCUCGUGCGUAAACCAGAUGCAUCUGUGUCCUUCUUUCAACCAUCUGAGUUCUUUGCUUUUUGGCAAAAAAAUAAAAAAGAAAGAGAAUGUGAAAACUGUUUUUUCUUGCCUACUUGCCUACUAGUGGCUCUCUUGCAAUAUUUCCACGGAAGGAAUCCAAUUACUAGUUAAGACACAGCUAUUGGACGCCCACGGACUUCUCACCUUCUUCUUCUUCUAGUCCAUGCACCAUCAAUAGCUGACCGAUCAAGUUCAAUUCUUUCAUUGCCUGAGAAGAAAGCGUCCGUGAGCAGUCAGAACCUUGCUCACGGAGCCCUGACCUACCCACAACUCCCAGCUGGGCUGAGCGAACCCCGGCUCCACCUUGACCUGCUUAAGGCCUCUCGCAGAGGACGUGGAGCGUGUCCCGCAACACAGUCUACAGACAGCGCUUCCUACAAACAGACUCGUUUUGUAACCUUUUCUCGUGUUGAUUCAGAUCUGCUCACUGAUUUGAAAACUGGUUAUGAGCUUGUAUCUCACUGUAUUUCUUAUGCUUUGUUCUUUUAAGCAAACCCUUAAAAUUGUGCUGUUUUGUGUACACAGGUGAGAUUUGGGAAAAAAAACCAUCUUGUGAGUUUUUGCUCAAAAUGUGGCCUAAAUAGCCAUUGGCAUGUCUAGAUAAAC